CUCUCGCAGUGCACAGAGUGUUAAAAAAAAAAACAUCAGACUUUCAGUAACUUAAGUAGGCGUGACACGGCACAGAGGCAGCGAUAGUGUUAUGUUGCUGCCAACUUACAUGUCAACUGCCAAGAAAUCCCAAUCUCUCACCGGAACUACCUACUGGACACACUAGUUUUGGUACUUCUUAUUUGAUGUUCUACUAAUUGUCGAAACCUUCACAAGCUGAUGCCCCAGGACCAUAGCUUCAACUUUUUGAGUCAUCUCUUCAUCUGUUGCUGGUUUUGAUCUUCCAUUUCUGGGAUCAUCUUCCAUGGAUUCACGGCUACCCCGAAAUUGUUCAUACCAAAAUUAUAUUUAUUAUGUAGUAAA